CCGAUCACAGCGAGGAGGACGAGAGCCAGAACAACCACUGCAGCAAUGAUGGGGAUGGUCAUGUCAGUGGGCUUCUUUCCUCUGUUGGUCCUGAUCUUUGCCAGUUUG